CAUGCUAGCCGGGGAGAUAGCGGUGCCCUGAACCUGCAAUCCGCUACAGCAGGGGCGAAUGCGUGCUUGAGGCACGCGGCUGUGCGGUCUGUGUCGUAUGCUUUUUGUGAUGAAGGAUGGGUCCUGCGCAAUUCGAUGCCAUGAACCAUGUCAGGCUGGGGACAGAGCAGCAUUAAGUGGAUUUUCGGAUGUGCCGCAGGCGUGCCUGUCCGGAGCAGAAACUGCGGUAACGCGUAU
rnacentral:SRP_RNA from 1 species